ensembl:lincRNA
AUGAUAUCUUGCAGUUAAAAAUGGCAUCUUAUUGAGACUAUACCUGCAGAUUAGGAGGCAACUGAAAUGAUGGAUUUUGAAAACUUUAGAAAUGUUACAAUGUGAGGAAUUGUUGAUAAAGACCUUCGUCACUACCUCAACUUACGAUUUCAAAAGGGUUCUGUGGACCAUGAGCUUCAGCAAAUCAUUCGUGACAACCUCUACCUCCGCACGGUGCCAUAAACUAUUCAUUCUGGAGCAACACUUGAUUUGCACCUUGAAAUAGGGAGGAAGUCAAACAAGGAAAUCGUCUUUGUGGGUAAGUUUUUACUGCCCUCUUGGGUUGCUGCUGCACGUUCACCACAUGUGCAUUCAGAUGGAUACCCGAUGUCAAAUGAGCAUAUCAGAAAGAAAAUUGUUUUAUGAGACAGCUCAGGUUUUGGGGAAAAUGGUGAUGUUUUAGGUUAGAAGAAAGGUUCAGGAAGCAUGUUAGGAGUGUAGAUGUAUCAUACGAGGAAUGUGUCAGAUAAUAACUGUCAGACUACUCCAGAGGUUCUUCAAGCUGCAGAAAUUACAAAGGCAGAAAUGAGCAUCCAGGCUCACAGAUGGCUUCUUCUCCUUAGAGUACUUGCUGAUUAACCAUUUUUAACAAAUAUUUCACUUUAGUAGGUCCAAUCAAUAAGCAUUCCAAAAACAUUUGUUGCCAAAUAUGUUAAUGGGCUAUUCCAGAACACGAUUAAGGGACCUUGCUACUCACACCCAGGUACAAUGUUUCAAUCCUUAGAUGACCCCUUCCUAUUACACAUUGGAUAAUAAAGUAGAAUUUUAAAAUUUUGCAAACCACGUAAGGAAACUUUACAUUAAAAUAGUUUUAGCUUCCAAACCCAUCUAAAAGUCUGUAUAUGGGAACCAUACGAAUUUUCUGGGUAGCUGAAGGAUUUGCCAAAAGCAAUUUCAUGAGUCUUUUCUUCAUGGUCACAUAUAAACCAUAAGUCCAGGUGUAAAUGAAUAUCAUCAGGUGUAAAAUAUUUGUUUCAACUGCUUAGGCAAUUAUUUAUGAAAAGAAAAUAGGAACAUUUGUCUUAUGGAAAGCUGAAUGGGGCAGUUAUUUUCAGCAUGACUCACAGUAGGCUUGUAUGAAUGAAUGAAUGAAUGAAUGAAUGAAUGAAUGAAUGAAAAAAUAGAUGGAUGAAAACAGUUUUUCUUGAUGAGAGGACAAUAUAGACCCAUCUAAAGAGACAGAAAAGAAAAGCAGUGCCCACCAAGAAAAACUCUUCCAUUUUAGCUAAAUGUAAGUGUUUCUCCUAGUGUAAUAUGAUGACCACCUGUAUCAGAGUCACUUGGAAAAUAUACACAAAUGGCAGAGUCAAUGACCCCACCGUGAAACUUUUGUUCCAGAAUCUCUGGAGUUGUAAGAUGAGAAGUCUUAACUUUUAACCAGCUCCCCAGGUAUUUUUUAUACCUUUUAGUUUUUCAGAACCAAAAGGUCACACAAUAUUUUCAAGAGGGAGAUAAAUUUGGAAGGGUAGUUUGGGGCCAGAUUUUAGAAAUGUAAAUGCCAGGCAAUGAGAUUUAGGUUUUAUUCAGUGAGUAAGGGAGAGCCAUUGAAAAACUUUAGCAUGAAGGGCACACAAUUCAAAAGAUACUUUGAGAAGUGUAAAUUGCAGGCAUGUGAAAUGUUAGGGUAUUAGAAGAGAAGAAGUAGUCUGGUAGAAUACAAGGCUGUAAGGUCCCUAAUCAGUGUAGAGAAUGUGAUAACAGAAUGGAGGUAAUAGAUUACAAUGUAUUUCAGAAGAAUUCACAAGUGAUUUUCUGAAUAUAAGAAAUGACAGGCCAGGCGCGGUGGCUAACGCCUGUAAUCCCAGCACUUUGGGAGGCCGAGGCGGGCGGAUCACAAGGUCAGGAGUUUGAGACCAGCCUGGCCAAUGUGGUGAAACCGCGUCUCUAUUAAAAAUACAAAAAUUAGCUGGGAGUGAUGGCAGACGCCUGUAGUCCCAGCUACUCGAGAGGCUGAGGCAGGAGAAUUGCUUGAACCUGGAAGGCGGAGGUUGUAGUGAGCCGAGAUCGGGCCGCUGCACUCCAGCCUGGGAGACAGAGCGAGACUCCAUCUCCAAAAAAAAAAAAAGAAAGAGGAAGAGGUCAGAGGUGACUGUGAAAUUUUAAGCCUACCUGAUUAAUGUCAUGAAUUAAAAGAAAAUUUUUGGUUGGAUGAAGAGAUAAGGGGGAAAGUUAAGUUUGGUGAUAUACAUUUGAGUUUAAAGCAGGUUCUUAAAAGUGAAAAAUGGGCAACUGAUAUAGUUUCACUGUAUCCCCACCCAAAUCUCAUCUUCACUUGCAGUUCCCAUAAUCCCCAGGUGUCAUGGGAGGGACCUGGUGGAAAGUGAUUGGAUCUCGUGAUAGUGAGUGAGUUUUCACAAGAUCUGAUGUUUUAGAAGUGUCUGGCAUUUCCCCUGCUGGCACUUCUCCUUUCUGCCACCUCAUGAAGAAGGAUGUAUUUGCUUCCCCUUCCACCAUGAUUGUAAGUCUCCUGAGACCUCCCCAGCCAUGCAGAACUGUGAGUCAAUUAAAACUCUUUUCUUAAUAAAUUACCCAGUCUCAGGUGUUUCUUCAUAGCAGCAUUAGAACAGACUAAUACAGCAACUGAGUCAAAAGCUAACAUCAGACGGGUGUGGCAGCUCACGCCUGUAAUCCUAGCACUUUGGAAGGCUAAGGUGGUGGACCACUUAAGGUUGGGAGUUCAAGACCAGCCUGGCCAACAUGGUGAAACUCCAUCCCUACUAAAAAUACAAAAAAUUAUCCAGGCAUGGUGGUGCACACCUAUAAUCCCAGCCACUUGGGAGGCUGAGGCAGGAGAAUUGCUUGAACCUGGGAGGUGGGAGGUACAGUGAGCUGAGAUCGUACCACUGCACUCCAGCCUGGGUGACAGAGGAAGAUUAAAAAAAAAAAAAAAAAAAGCUAACAUCAAGGUGGGAGAGACAAAGACUCAGUGGCAAGCAUUUUAUUCUAAGAACAGAGGACAGUGUUAACUUUAUACUGUCACUCACAUUAUAUCCACUUGUAUUUAUUCACAGAUUUUUCCCUGUUCUAAAAUUUUAAUAAGAACUUUUCCCUGUACCCCAAAAUUACUUGCCUUUUAUACAGCUACUUUUCCCAUUUUUGAAUUUCGCAAGCGUUGUUUUUAAUUUACAUAAGCAAAUCAUUAUAUCUACAAAUGAAUAGUACUUAUCUUUUCUCAUAAAGACUACUGCGUUUUAGUAGUAUCAUUAUAGUAUAUUGAAAUCCCAGCUGAAGAAACUAACUUUUGCUGAAGGUGGAACUGGAUAUUGAAAAAUAUAGGCAUUUACAAGAGAAAGAAAAGGGAGGAGAUUAUUCCAUGGUGAGAAACCAGCAUAUGGAAAUGUAUGAACACAUGCUUUCAGAAUAAAGCAGCACUAAAAAUGUGUAAGGUUCAUGGCAAUCUGACUUUGCUGAGAGUUUUCAAAGAACAUUGGUGUCUUCAUGUUUUUUAAAGUCUUAAUAAAUACGGAUAUUAACUUGCAUUUUUUAAAACAAUAAUCUGAAUAUAUGUUACAGCAAUGUAAGCUAGUUCAGUUAGAUGAACUACACUCAGAAAAUUUUUGCAAUCAAAGGAAUCAUUUAGAUAGGGAUAUGUGUUAGCAUGGGUCUUCCAAGCAACACACAUCAAAAUGAAGUUAAACAUACAACAAAUGUAUUAGGUGAAUCAACAGUAAGAUAAGAUGAGCAGCCAGCUGGAGAAGACCAGGAGAAUCAUCAGCCUGAAAUGCAUGUCUAAACCCAAGUGAAGAAGGGAGGAAAAGAAAGGGAA